GUGGGGAAUAUUGGACAAUGGGGGCAACCCUGAUCCAGCUAUGCCGCGUGUGUGAAGAAGGCCUUAGGGUUGUAAAGCACUUUCAGUGGGGAGGAAGGCUUUGGGCUAAUACCCUGGAGUACUUGACGUUACCCACAGAAGAAGCACCGGCUAAUUUCGUGCCAGCAGCCGCGGUAAUACGAAAGGUGCGAGCGUUAAUCGGAAUUACUGGGCGUAAAGCGCGCGUAGGCGGUUUGUUAAGUCUGAUGUGAAAGCCCCGGGCUCAACCUGGGAAUGGCAUCGGAUACUGGCAAGCUAGAAUGCGGUGGAGGGGGGUGGAAUUCCAGGUGUAGCGGUGAAAUGCGUAGAUAUAUGGAGGAACACCAGUGGCGAAAGCGGCUCUCUGGUCUGUAACUGACGCUGAGGUUCGAAAGCGUGGGUAGCAAACAGGAUUAGAAACCCCUGUAGUCC
rnacentral:rRNA from 1 species